rnacentral:rRNA from 1 species
GACGAACGCUGGCGGCGUGCUUAACACAUGCAAGUCGAACGGAAAGGCCCUGCUUGUUUGCUGUGCUCGAGUUGCAAACGGGUGAGUAACACGUGAGUAACCUGACCUUGACUUUGGGAUAACUUCAGGAAGCUGGGGCUAAUACCGGAUAGGAGCUGCUGCUGCAGGGUGGGGGUUGGAAAGUUUAGGCGGUUGGGUAUUGACGCGCGGCUUAUCGGCUUGUUGGUGGGGUAGUGGCUUACCAAGGCUUUGACGGGUAGCCUGCCUGAGAGGGUGACCGGCCACAUUGGGACUGAGCUACGGCCCAGACUCCUACGGGAGGCAGCAGUGGGGAAUAUUGCCCAAUGCGCUGAAGCCUGAUGCAGCAACGCCGCGUGCGGGAUGACGGCCUUCGGGUUGUAAGCCGCUUUCGCCUGUGACGAAGCGUGAGUGACGGUAAUGGGUAAAGAAGCACCGGCUAACUACGUG